rnacentral:rRNA from 1 species
GACGAACGCUGGCGGCGUGCUUAACACAUGCAAGUCGAACGAUGAAGCCGGAGCUUGCUCUGGUGAAUUAGUGGCGAACGGGUGAGUAACACGUGAGUAACCUGCCCUUGACUCUGGGAUAACUGCUAGAAAUGGUAGCUAAUACCGGAUACGACCCUCGGAGGCAUCUCCAGGGGGUGGAAAGAAUUUCGGUCAAGGAUGGACUCGCGGCCUAUCAGCUUGUUGGUGGGGUGAUGGCCUACCAAGGCGACGACGGGUAGCCGGCCUGAGAGGGUGACCGGCCACACUGGGACUGAGACACGGCCCAGACUCCUACGGGAGGCAGCAGUGGGGAAUAUUGCACAAUGGGCGCAAGCCUGAUGCAGCAACGCCGCGUGAGGGAUGACGGCCUUCGGGUUGUAAACCUCUUUUAGUAGGGAAGAAGCGAAAGUGACGGUACCUGCAAAAAAAGCACCGGCUAACUACGUGCCAGCAGCCGCGGUAA